rnacentral:rRNA from 1 species
AUUGAACGCUGGCGGCAGGCCUAACACAUGCAAGUCGAGCGAGCGGCGGACGGGUGAGUAAUGGAUGGGGAUAUGAACGAUAGAGGGGGAUGACUACUGGAAACGGUGGCUAAUACCGCAUACUGCAGGUUGAACCCUUAUGGGAUUAGCUAGUAGGUGGGGUAAAGGCGAACUUAGGCGAGGAUCUCUAGCUGGUCUGAGAGGAUGAUCAGCCACACUGGGACUGAGACACGGCCCAGACGCCUACGGGAGGCAGCAGUGGGGAAUAUUGCACAAUGGGCGCAAGCCUGAUGCAGCCAUGCCGCGUGUAUGAAGAAGGCCUUAGGGUUGUAAAGUACUUUCAGCGGGGAGGCGUUACCCGCAGAAGAAGCACCGGCUAACUCCGUGCCAGCAGCCGCGGUAAUUC